AUUCCCCUAGUAGCGGCGAGCGAAGCGGGAAGAGCUCAAAUUUAUAAUCUGGCACCUUCGGUGUCCGAGUUGUAAUCUCUAGAAAUGUUUUCCGCGUUGGACCGCACACAAGUCUGUUGGAAUACAGCGGCAUAGUGGUGAGACCCCCGUAUAUGGUGCGGACGCCCAGCGCUUUGUGAUACAUUUUCGAAGAGUCGAGUUGUUUGGGAAUGCAGCUCAAAUUGGGUGGUAAAUUCCAUCUAAAGCUAAAUAUUGGCGAGAGACCGAUAGCGAACAAGUACCGUGAGGGAAAGAUGAAAAGCACUUUGGAAAGAGAGUUAACAGUACGUGAAAUUGUUGGAAGGGAAACGCUUGAAGUCAGACUUGCUUGCCGAGCAAUCGGUUUGCAGGCCAGCAUCAGUUUUCCGGGAUGGAUAAUGGUAGAGAGAAGGUAGCAGUUUCGGCUGUGUUAUAGCUCUCUGCUGGAUACAUCUUGGGGGACUGAGGAACGCAGUGUGCCUUUGGCGGGGGUUUCGACCUCUUCACACUUAGGAUGCUGGUGGAAUGGCUUUAAACGACCCGUCUUGAAACACGGACCAAGGAGUCUAACAUGCUUGCGAGUAUUUGGGUGUCAAACCCGGAUGCGUAAUGAAAGUGAAUGGAGGUGGGAACCGCAAGGUGCACCAUCGACCGAUCUGGAUUUUUAAUGAUGGAUUUGAGUAAGAGCACGUAUGUUGGGACCCGAAAGAUGGUGAACUAUGCCUGAAUAGGGCGAAGCCAGAGGAAACUCUGGUGGAGGCUCGUAGCGGUUCUGACGUGCAAAUCGAUCGUCAAAUUUGGGUAUAGGGGCGAAAGACUAAUCGAACCAUCUAGUAGCUGGUUCCUGCCGA
rnacentral:rRNA from 1 species